rnacentral:rRNA from 1 species
UACGAAUGGAGCAAGCGUUGUUCGGAAUCACUGGGCUUAAAGCGUGCGCAGGCGGUUUGUACAGUCAGAAGUGAAAGCCCUGGGCUCAACCCAGGAACUGCUUUUGAAACUCACAAACUAGAAUCCGGGAGAGGUUAGUAGAAUUCCUAGUGUAGAGGUGAAAUUCGCAGAUAUUAGGAGGAAUACCAGUGGCGAAGGCGACUAACUGGACCGGUAUUGACGCUCAGGUACGAAAGCGUGGGGAGCAAACAGG